UUCCACGUUUGUAAACAUUUUAUCUUGAUGUUGUGAUUGCAUAAUGUUAAAGAAUGCUGCAUUGAAGAGGCAGAUUCUGAUAUAGUUAGAGGACAUUCUUUGUUCAUGCAUGCAAUUGGAUGACUACGUACAUCCAUUUAUAUUUGUUUUUAAGAACUUAAGAAUGUGACCAACACAUUGAACAGUUGUUGUUUUUUCUAUUCUUUGAGGCGGGUGCAUGAUUAUUUAUUUAUAUUUGAAAUCCUAAGCUCAACAUUUUAACCCAAUCUAUGAAUGAAUGACUUGUUUCAUGAGUGUUGCAUUAGAAAACUGAAUAAAAGUUUUCUUAUAACAGUGUAAGUUCCCUGGGACAGGAUGUGAAUAAAUACAUAAAUCAAGACACUCCAACCAGUUUUAUAAUUACAUUGAAACAAAGCUCAGGCGAGUUGUUAAAACUGGGGAGUCGCAGCGAUUAAAACACCAAACUGUAGGAUGAGCUGUCAAAUUCAAUUACUCACAGGUGGUUGAUAAGCUCAAUAUGCAGAGCAAGUGAGAAGUGGGAGUUUAAAAUUUUUGGAUUAUUCAACUGUUACAUGCAGCUGCUUCUUAAAAAAGAUGUAAGUUUGAAUAUAUUUAUAAUCAUCUUUAAUAUAUUUCAAAUUUACUGUGUAAAUUGUUCCCAUUCUUAUCAUGAUUAUGCUCAAAGGCACUUGAAGUUAAUGUAAAUAUUCAGUACCUCGUGUUAGGUGCCUGUAUUUGGUUGUUGCUCUGCUGGGUUCACUUCAAUACUGUACAUUGUUUGGUACAUUUGUAAUAAAUACUACACUAUACAUCUAUUAUUUUGUACAUGUAUCUAAAGGUCGUUUCAGUUAACUAAUGCAAGGUGAAGAUAACGAACAGUGAUCAAUCUCAUAACUCCUAACAAGCAAUACAAAAUAGAUAGUUGGGCAAACACGGACCCCUGGACACACCAGAGGUGGGAUCAAGUGCCUAGGAGGAGUAAGCAUCCCCUGUUAACCGGUCACACCCGCCGUGAGCCCCAUAUCCUGAUCAGCUUGGAAAACUUGUAUGCAUUGGAGGCGACAAUGUUCAAACAUGUGUUCAGGGAUACUGUCCUUUUUGAUGGCGACAACCUUAGCAUUGCAAUUAAAUUGGAGUGGGAAAGGAACAAAUAGAGGGCUGUCAAAUCUAGAAUGAAGAGACAUAAUAAAGGCUGUCAGGAUAAAAAAAAUCUGAAAGAGCGGCAAAGGCAACAAAAGGACAGUGAGGAAGUGAGCCAGGACCAAAAACUUUUAAAUCAUUAUUUUACAGAAAUGUCUACCAUCAUCUAUUUCAAACCUAUUUUGUAACUUUUGACAAUUUAAUUCAUAUAAAAAAUCAUUUUACAGAGAA